rnacentral:rRNA from 1 species
AUUGAACGCUGGCGGCAUGCCUUACACAUGCAAGUCGAACGGUAACAGGUCUUCAGAUGCUGACGAGUGGCGAACGGGUGAGUAAUACAUCGGAACGUGCCCAGACGUGGGGGAUAACGAGGCGAAAGCUUUGCUAAUACCGCAUACGAUCUAAGGAUGAAAGCAGGGGACCGCAAGGCCUUGCGCGUUUGGAGCGGCCGAUGGCAGAUUAGGUAGUUGGUGGGAUAAAAGCUUACCAAGCCGACGAUCUGUAGCUGGUCUGAGAGGACGACCAGCCACACUGGGACUGAGACACGGCCCAGACUCCUACGGGAGGCAGCAGUGGGGAAUUUUGGACAAUGGGCGAAAGCCUGAUCCAGCAAUGCCGCGUGCAGGAUGAAGGCCUUCGGUUGUAAACUAGCUUUGUUACGGUAACGAAAAGGACUACUGGCUAAUACCUGGGCGACGAUGACGGUACCGUAA